rnacentral:rRNA from 1 species
UACAGAGGUCUCAAGCGUUGUCCGGAUUUACUGGGCGUAAAGAGCGCGCAGGCGGUCGUUCAAGUCGCGUGUGAAAGCCCCCGGCUCAACUGGGGAGGGUCACGCGAUACUGAUCGACUCGAAGGCAGGAGAGGGAAGUGGAAUUCCCGGUGUAGUGGUGAAAUGCGUAGAUAUCGGGAGGAACACCAGUGGCGAAGGCGACUUCCUGGCCUGUUCUUGACGCUGAGGCGCGAAAGCUAGGGUAGCAAACGGG